rnacentral:rRNA from 1 species
AUUGAACGCUGGCGGCAGGCCUAACACAUGCAAGUCGAGCGGAUGAAGGGAGCUUGCUCCUGGAUUCAGCGGCGGACGGGUGAGUAAUGCCUAGGAAUCUGCCUGGUAGUGGGGGAUAACGUCCGGAAACGGGCGCUAAUACCGCAUACGUCCUGAGGGAGAAAGUGGUGGAUCUUCGGAGCUCACGCUAUCAGAUGAGCCUAGGUCGGAUUAGCUAGUUGGAGGGGUAAAGGCCUACCAAGGCGACGUUCCGUAACUGGUCUGAGAGGAUGAUCAGUCACACGGGAACUGCGGCAGGCUCCAGACUCCUACGAGCGGCAGCCGUGCGGAAUAUUGGACGAUGGGCGAAAGCCUGAUCAAGCCAUGCCGCGUGUGUCAAGACGGUCUUCGGAUUGUACAGCGCUUUAAGUUGGGAGGCAGGGCAGUAACUUAAUGCCUGACUGUUUUGCCGUUCCCAACAGAAUCGGCAAAGGCUAACUUCGUG